GCAAAAGUAAAAUGGGCAUGUGAC
rnacentral:siRNA from 1 species